rnacentral:rRNA from 1 species
UACGUAGGGAGCAAGCGUUGUCCGGAAUCAUUGGGCGUAAAGCGCGCGUAGGCGGCCCGAUAAGUCCGCUGUAAAAGUCAACGGCUCAACUGUUGAAAGCCGGUGGAUACUGUCGGGCUAGAGUACGGAAGAGGCAAGUGGAAUUCCUGGUGUAGCGGUGGAAUGCGCAGAUAUCAGGAGGAACACCCAUAGCGAAGGCAGCUUGCUGGGACGUUACUGACGCUGAGGCGCGAAAGCUAGGGGAGCAAACGGG